CGGAGGGAUCAUUAAAGAGUUCUAUAACUCCCAAACCCAUGUGAACAUACCUAACGUUGCCUCGGCAGGUCGCACCUACCUUGUAGCACCCUACCCUGUAGGGCCUACCCGGGAGGUGCGGGUAAGCCUGCCGGCGGCCCACCAAACUCUGUUUGAUAUUGAAUUCUGAACCUAUAACUAAAUAAGUUAAAACUUUCAACAACGGAUCUCUUGGUUCUGGCAUCGAUGAAGAACGCAGCGAAAUGCGAUAAGUAAUGUGAAUUGCAGAAUUCAGUGAAUCAUCGAAUCUUUGAACGCAUAUUGCGCCCAUUAGUAUUCUAGUGGGCAGGACCGUUCGAGCGUCAUUUCAACCCUUAAGCCUUCGUUGCUUAGUGUUGGGAGCCUACGGCAACGUAGCUCCUCAAAGUUAGUGGCGGAGUUGGUUCACACUCUAGACGUAGUAAUUUUUUAUCUCGCCUAUUAGUUGGACUAAUCCCCUGCCGUAAAACCCCCAAUUUAUCAAGGUUGACCUCGAAUCGGUUCAGACAAACUCGCUAAAUUGAAGCAUCUUAGUCAGCGAAGGAAAAGAAACCAACAGGGAUUGCCCUAGUAACGGCGAGUGAAGCGGCAACAGCUCAAAUUUGAAAUCUGGCCCUCGGGUCCGAGUUGUAAUUUGUA
rnacentral:rRNA from 1 species